UUCAGACCAGCGACCGCGCCAGCCGCGAAUCGGAUCUCUAUGGAGAUGGCCUAGCGAUAUCCCUGAGCUGAGAGCAUCACCCUGUCCCCGAAUCCUUCUUUCCUCUCUGUUUUGUUUUUCAUUCCCCUCCCUCUCUCCCCUCCCCCUCCAGUCCACGACGACUGGCUGUUGACCCUGUUCAGGCCUCGGUGAAGGCUUUUGGUUACUCCCCUUCCCACCCCAUCCCUUAAUUUUAUUCUUUUGAAGAGUGCAUUUCAAGCUGCCAAGGUGAAGAGAGGGAUUACAGAAAGGAGAACACCUUAUUUCAGGUAUCUUAUCCUCUACCCCUUAAUAGGAGAACCAUUUUGACUCAAGAUCUAACAUGAGAAUACAAAACUUA
rnacentral:lncRNA from 1 species